rnacentral:rRNA from 1 species
AUUGAACGCUGGCGGCAGGCCUAACACAUGCAAGUCGAACGGUAACAGGAAGCAGCUUGCUGCUUCGCUGACGAGUGGCGGACGGGUGAGUAAUGUCUGGGAAACUGCCUGAUGGAGGGGGAUAACUACUGGAAACGGUAGCUAAUACCGCAUAACGUCGCAAGACCAAAGAGGGGGACCUUCGGGCUCUUGCCAUCGGAUGUGCCCAGAUGGGAUUAGCUAGUAGGUGGGGUAACGGGCUCACCUAGGCGACGAUCCCUAGCUGGUCUGAGAGGAUGACCAGCCACACUGGAACUGAGACACGGUCCAGACU